GACGAACGCUGGCGGCGUGCUUAACACAUGCAAGUCGAACGGAAAGGCCCUGCUUUUGUGGGGUGCUCGAGUGGCGAACGGGUGAGUAACACGUGAGUAACCUGCCCUUGACUUUGGGAUAACUUCAGGAAACUGGGGCUCAUACCGGAUAGGAGCUCCUGCUGCAUGGUGGGGGUUGGAAAGUUUCGGCGGUUGGGGCUGGACUCGCGGCUUAUCAGCUUGUUGGUGGGGUAGUGGCUUACCAAGUCUGUGACGGGUAGCCGGCCUGAGAGGGUGACCGGCCACAUUGGGACUGAGAUACGGCCCAGACUCCUACGGGAGGCAGCAGUGGGGAAUAUUGCACAAUGGGCGGAAGCCUGAUGCAGCAACGCCGCGUGCGGGAUGACGUCCUUCGGGUUGUAAACCGCUUUCGCCUGUGACGAAGCGUGAGUGACGGUAAUGGGUAAAGAAGCACCGGCUAACUACGUG
rnacentral:rRNA from 1 species